UUUAAGAGAAUGGAAAAAAACCUUCUUGUGGAUAAAAACCUUAAAUUGUCCCCAAUGUCUGCUUCAAAUUGGAUGGCACUGCAGCUGGAGGCUUUGUUCAGAAUUGAUCCUGGGGAGCUACGAACCCAAAGUUUCACAGUAGGAAGGGGGAAAAAAGAAAAGAAAACAUUUUUCCUAAUGUAACAAUGCGAAUGCUAGAAAAUGACAAGACUGAUCGGCUCUAAACCAUUCUGAAGACUGACUGAGCGUGGAAGUUGCUCAACAAAAAAAGGAACGGGUAUAUUGGUUCAAACCCUAUAAAACCAGCACAUUUUGUAUGGUUUCCACCCAAAACUAUAAGCUGGCAUGAGAUGUUGCUAGAAGCUCUACAAAACUUGCGCCACCACCCUUGACAACGUUUUGGUGAACUUGGCAGUGACUUGGAAUACAGCUGCUGAGAACCAGAGGGAAGCCCACUCCUUUGGAAGAGCAUUUCCCUAGAUUACUUCACCACUGCUGGGGAUCCCCUUGAACACUGGUCCCUGAACACCAGCUUCCAGAAGAUUCCAUGGAUGGCCAUCCAGUCUUAUCCACUGCAGUUUUCCCUCUGCACUUCCUUCUUUAAUUCCUUCGAUCCAGCGAGGCUCUCAUCAGGGUCAGAGCAGAGAUGGACCAGCUGGACCACAGAUUGGAGGACUGACCUCUUAGAGUGCCAACAGUCAACAGUGUGCUGUCUGACCCAUAGAAAGAUAAGAAGAAGAAGAAAAUAUGCUAUGUGGAAGGAAGAGGAAUGGUUUGAUAAUUCCUUAGAGGCUGAAAGUGAGGAACAACCAAAUUUAGAGGAAUAUGACAUUUUCCUGCAGGGCUUCUCUUUUGUCCCUACUGAGAUAUAUAAUCUGGGUGUUCCUGCUGGACUGUGAUUCAGAGGAGACUAAGUCUUCUAGUGGUCCUCCUGCUAGUAAGAAACACCAACCCAUUGGUCUCUGUAUUGCUUCUCUGCACUGUAGAUCUGCACUUUUGACCUGGAAGAUGUUGGCAUUGACUUUUGUAGGAUCAAGGUCAAUGAUAACAGUAGUUCAAACCUUCCCCAACUUUGUGUUUAUAGAUCAGGUGGUGACAUCCUGUACUGAGUUUGUUAGAGCAAUGGAGUCACAGGGUGGAACUGAACUCUUAAAAUAUUUGGCUGAAACAUGAUAUUGCUAGUUAUGUAGAAGACAGCAUUAUGGAACAUGAUCAGAAUCAUGAAACAAGGUACUACUGGUUAAAUUUUGCAAUCCAGCAACCCACUAAGGACAGUGUAGACUCUACAGAAACUGGGAGCAGGUAGACAUGGUUCUUUUCCCAU